rnacentral:rRNA from 1 species
UACAGAGGGGGCGAGCGUUGUUCGGAAUUACUGGGCGUAAAGGGCGCGUAGGCGGCCUUCUAAGUCGAACGUGAAAUCCCCGGGCUCAACCCGGGAACUGCGUCCGAGACUGGAAGGCUCGAAUCCGGGAGAGGGAUGUGGAAUUCCAGGUGUAGCGGUGAAAUGCGUAGAUAUCUGGAGGAACAUCGGUGGCGAAGGCGGCAUCCUGGACCGGUAUUGACGCUGAGGCGCGAAAGCCAGGGGAGCAAACGGG